GACGAACGCGGCGGCGUGCUUAACACAUGCAAGUCGAACGGAAAGGCCCACCACUUUGGUGGUGGGUACUCGAGUGGCGAACGGGUGAGUAACACGUGGGUGAUCUGCCCCGCACUGUGGGAUAAGCCUGGGAAACUGGGUCUAAUACCACAUACGACCAUGGCGUAGGGGUCAUGGUGGAAAGCUUUGCGGUGUGGGAUGAGCCCGCGGCCUAUCAGCUUGUUGGUGGGGUAAUGGCCUACCAAGGCGGCGACGGGUAGCCGGCCUGAGAGGGUGGACGGCCACAUUGGGACUGAGACACGGCCCAGACUCCUACGGGAGGCAGCAGUGGGGAAUAUUGCACAAUGGGCGCAAGCCUGAUGCAGCGACGCCGCGUGGGGGAUGGAAGGCCUUCGGGUUGUAAACUCCUUUCGCCCGGGACGAAGCCCACCUGGUGGGGACGGACCGG
rnacentral:rRNA from 1 species